rnacentral:rRNA from 1 species
UACGAAGGGGGCUAGCGUUGCUCGGAAUCACUGGGCGUAAAGCGCACGUAGGCGGAUCUUUAAGUCAGGGGUGAAAUCCUGGAGCUCAACUCCAGAACUGCCUUUGAUACUGGGGAUCUCGAGUCCGGAAGAGGUGAGUGGAACUCCGAGUGUAGAGGUGAAAUUCGUAGAUAUUCGCAAGAACACCAGUGGCGAAGGCGGCUCACUGGCUCGGUACUGACGCUGAGGUGCGAAAGCGUGGGGAGCAAACAGG